rnacentral:rRNA from 1 species
CCUACGGGAGGCUGCAGUCGAGAAUCUUCGGCAAUGGGCGAAAGCCUGACCGAGCGACGCCGCGUGAGCGAAGAAGGCCCUAUGGGUUGUAAAGCUCUGUCAGAUUGGGAAGAAAACCUCGUGAUUAAUACCUGCGAGGCUUGACGGUACCAUCAGAGGAAGCACCGGCUAACCCCGUGCCAGCAGCCGCGGUAAUACGGGGGGUGCAAGCGUUGUUCGGAUUCACUGGGUAUAAAGGGUGCGCAGGCGGCCUGUUAAGUCAGAGGUGAAAUCUGUCGGCUCAACCGACAGACUGCCCCUGAAACUGACAGGCUUGAGUCCGGGAGAGGAAGGUGGAAUUCCAGGUGUAGCGGUGAAAUGCGUAAAUAUCUGGAGGAACACCGGUGGCGAAGGCGGCCUUCUGGCCCGGAACUGACGCUCAGGCACGAAAGCUAGGGGAGCGAACGGGAUUAGAUACCCCAGUAGUC